rnacentral:rRNA from 1 species
CUACGGGGUGCUGCAGUGGGGAAUAUUGGACAAUGGGGGAAACCCUGAUCCAGCAAUGCCGCGUGUGUGAAGAAGGUCUGCGGGUUGUAAAGCACUUUCGGUUGGGAGGACUGCUUCUAGCACUAAUAUUGUUGGAAGUUGACGUUACCUUCAGAAGAAGCACCGGCUAACUCCGUGCCAGCAGCCGCGGUAAUACGGGAGGGUGCAAGCGUUAAUCGGAAUUACUGGGCGUAAAGCGCGCGUAGGCGGCUAGAUCAGUCGGGUGUGAAAGCCCCGGGCCUAACCUGGGAACUGCAUCCGAUACUGUCUAGCUUGAGUACAGGAGAGGAGAGUGGAAUUCCACAUGUAGCGGUGAAAUGCGUAGAUAUGUGGAGGAACACCAAUGGCGAAGGCAGCUCUCUGGCCUGAUACUGACGCUGAGGUGCGAAAGCGUGGGGAGCAAACAGGAUUAGAUACCCUCGUAGUC